rnacentral:misc_RNA from 1 species
UCUCGGCUUAUCACCGGCAGUCCCCCUAGAGUGCCCAACUGAAUGAUGGCAACUAAGGGCGAGGGUUGCGCUCGUUGCGGGACUUAACCCAACAUCUCACGACACGAGCUGACGACAGCCAUGCAGCACCUCGGCUGGUGUCCCUUGCGGGAAAAGGAACUUUCAUCCCCUGUCACCAGUCGUUCGAGCCCAGGUAAGGUUCUUCGCGUUGCGUCGAAUUAAACCACAUACUCCACCGCUUGUGCGGGCCCCCGUCAAUUCUUUUGAGUUUCACCCUUGCGAGCGUACUCCUCAGGCGGUAUACUUAUCGCGUUAGCUACGGCACAGCCAGGGUUGAGUCCGGCUACACCAAGUAUACAUAGUUUAGGGCUAGGACUAC